rnacentral:misc_RNA from 1 species
UCCGGUUUGUCACCGGCAGUUCCAAUAGAGUGCCCUUUCGUAGCAACUAUUGGCAAGGGUUGCGCUCGUUGCGGGACUUAACCCAACAUCUCACGACACGAGCUGACGACAGCCAUGCAGCACCUGUGUCCAGGUUCCCUUUCGGGCACCCCUCCAUCUCUGGAGGGUUCCUGGCAUGUCAAGGGUAGGUAAGGUUUUUCGCGUUGCAUCGAAUUAAUCCACAUAAUCCACCGCUUGUGCGGGUCCCCGUCAAUUCCUUUGAGUUUUAAUCUUGCGACCGUAUUCCCCAGGCGGUCAACUUCACGCGUUAGCUUCGUUACUGAGAAAGAGAAUUCCCAACAACCAGUUGACAUCGUUUAGGGCGUGGACUAC